rnacentral:rRNA from 1 species
GGCGAACGCUGGCGGCGUGCUUAACACAUGCAAGUCGAGCGGUAAGGCCCUUCGGGGUACACGAGCGGCGAACGGGUGAGUAACACGUGGGUGACCUGCCUCUAGCUCUGGGAUAAGCCUGGGAAACUGGGUCUAAUACCGGAUAUGACUCCACGGCGCAUGUUGUGGGGUGGAAAGCCUUGUGUGGCUAGAGAUGGGCCCGCGGCCUAUCAGCUUGUUGGUGGGGUGAUGGCCUACCAAGGCGACGACGGGUAGCCGGCCUGAGAGGCGACCGGCCACACUGGGACUGAGACACGGCCCAGACUCCUACGGGAGGCAGCAGUGGGGAAUCUUGCGCAAUGGGCGAAAGCCUGACGCAGCGACGCCGCGUGAGGGAUGACGGCCU